rnacentral:rRNA from 1 species
GAUGAACGCUAGCUACAGGCUUAACACAUGCAAGUCGAGGGGCAGCAUUUCAGUUUGCUUGCAAACUGGAGAUGGCGACCGGCGCACGGGUGAGUAACACGUAUCCAACCUGCCGAUAACUCGGGGAUAGCCUUUCGAAAGAAAGAUUAAUACCCGAUGGUAUAAUCAGACCGCAUGGUCUUGUUAUUAAAGAAUUUCGGUUAUCGAUGGGGAUGCGUUCCAUUAGGCAGUUGGUGAGGUAACGGCUCACCAAACCUUCGAUGGAUAGGGGUUCUGAGAGGAAGGUCCCCCACAUUGGAACUGAGACACGGUCCAAACUCCUACGGGAGGCAGCAGUGAGGAAUAUUGGUCAAUGGGCGCAGGCCUGAACCAGCCAAGUAGCGUGAAGGAUGACUGCCCUAUGGGUUGUAAACUUCUUUUAUAUGGGAAUAAAGUUUUCCACGUGUGGAAUUUUGUAUGUACCAUAUGAAUAAGGAUCGGCUAACUCCGUGCCAGCAGCCGCGGUAAUACGGAGGAUCCGAGCGUUAUCCGGAUUUAUUGGGUUUAAAGGGAGCGUAGGUGGACAGUUAAGUCAGUUGUGAAAGUUUGCGGCUCAACCGUAAAAUUGCAGUUGAUACUGGCUGUCUUGAGUACAGUAGAGGUGGGCGGAAUUCGUGGUGAAGCGGUGAAAUGCUUAGAUAUCACGAAGAACUCCGAUUGCGAAGGCAGCUCACUGGACUGCAACUGACACUGAUGCUCGAAAGUGUGGGUAUCAAACAGGAUUAGAUACCCUGGUAGUCCACACAGUAAACGAUGAAUACUCGCUGUUUGCGAUAUACAGUAAGCGGCCAAGCGAAAGCAUUAAGUAUUCCACCUGGGGAGUACGCCGGCAACGGUGAAACUCAAAGGAAUUGACGGGGGCCCGCACAAGCGGAGGAACAUGUGGUUUAAUUCGAUGAUACGCGAGGAACCUUACCCGGGCUUAAAUUGCAUUUGAAUAUAUUGGAAACAGUAUAGCCGUAAGGCAAAUGUGAAGGUGCUGCAUGGUUGUCGUCAGCUCGUGCCGUGAGGUGUCGGCUUAAGUGCCAUAACGAGCGCAACCCUUAUCUUUAGUUACUAACAGGUCAUGCUGAGGACUCUAGAGAGACUGCCGUCGUAAGAUGUGAGGAAGGUGGGGAUGACGUCAAAUCAGCACGGCCCUUACGUCCGGGGCUACACACGUGUUACAAUGGGGGGUACAGAAGGCAGCUACCUGGUGACAGGAUGCUAAUCCCAAAAGCCUCUCUCAGUUCGGAUCGAAGUCUGCAACCCGACUUCGUGAAGCUGGAUUCGCUAGUAAUCGCGCAUCAGCCAUGGCGCGGUGAAUACGUUCCCGGGCCU